rnacentral:lncRNA from 1 species
AUGCUUCAUGUUGUGUUGGUUUUAUUUCAUUCCUUUUGGGGUCAAAUUGUUCUUGGAGAAUUCCCUUGUAGUGGGGUGUAACAAUGAGUACAGAGUAAAUAUGUUUGGACAUUUUUCGGAGACAAGUGGGCUAUAUACUUGGGAGAUAUAUUUUCCUACAGAUCGAUGUCUUGCCUAUCUUAUUGUUUAAUAUGUGGUUAGGGG